GUCUUCAAUUACUGUCCUAAUCAAGAGAAGCCUAGUUCUUCCCCUGAAAAAAAACUUUGCAGAACUGGAGUUGUGACACAAGUGGUAGCCAGCUGUGAGGGGAAAAGAUAAGUGAGAGAGUGAAACCCUGCGUUCA